CCUAUCACAGGGGGAUAGCCUUUGGAAACAGGGAUUAAUACCGCAUAAAGCAGGGGCUCCGCAUGGAGAUAUUGCUAAAGAUUUAUCGGUGAUAGAUGGGCAUGCGUCUGAUUAGUUAGAUGGUAGGGUAACGGCCUACCAUGACGAUGAUCAGUAGGGGGCGUCAGAGCGUGGUCCCCCACACUGGCACUGAGAUACGGGCCAGACUCCUACGGGAGGCAGCAGUAGGGAAUAUUGGGCAAUGGAUGCAAGUCUGACCCAGCCAUGCCGCGUGAAGGAAGAAGGUCCUCUGGAUUGUAAACUUCUUUUAUCGGGGAAGAAGAAACGCCUUGCGAGGUGAAGUGACGGCACCCGAUGAAUAAGCCACGGCUAACUACGUGCCAGCAGCCGCGGUAAUACGUAGGUGGCAAGCGUUGUCCGGAUUUAUUGGGUUUAAAGGGUGCGUAGGUGGUUUAAUAAGUCAGUGGUGAAAGCUGGUUGCUCAACAAUCAAGUUGCCAUUGAUACUGUUAGACUUGAGAGAAGUGGAGGCUGGUGGAAUGGAUGGUGUAGCGGUGAAAUGCAUAGAUAUUAUCCAGAACGUCAAUUGCGAAGGCAGCUGGCUGUACUUUUUCUGACACUGAGGCACGAA
rnacentral:rRNA from 1 species